rnacentral:rRNA from 1 species
UACGUAGGGUGCGAGCGUUAAUCGGAAUUACUGGGCGUAAAGCGUGCGCAGGCGGUCUGUUAAGACAGAUGUGAAAUCCCCCGGCUUAACCAGGGAACUGCGUCUGAUACUGGAUGGCUUGAGUUUGGGAGAGGGAUGCGGAAUUCCAGGUGUAGCGGUGAAAUGCGUAGAUAUCUGGAGGAACACCGGUGGCGAAGGCGACAUCCUGGACCAACACUGACGCUGAGUGAGCGAAAGCCAGGGGAGCAAACGGG